UACGAAGGGGGCUAGCGUUGCUCGGAAUGACUGGGCGUAAAGGGCGCGUAGGCGGUUUGAUCAGUUAGGUGUGAAAUUCCUGGGCUUAACCUGGGGGCUGCACUUAAUACGGUUAGACUAGAGUGUGAAAGAGGGAAGCGGAAUUCCCGGUGUAGUGGUGAAAUGCGUAGAUAUCGGGAGGAACACCAGUGGCGAAGGCGACUUUCUGGUCUGCUCUUGACGCUGAGGCGCGAAAGCGUGGGUAGCAAACAGG
rnacentral:rRNA from 1 species